GAGACUGCCGGUGUCGAAACCGGAGGAAGGUGGGGAUGACGUCAAGUCCUCAUGGCCUUUAUGACCAGGGCUACACACGUACUACAAUGGCCGGUACAAAGGGCAGCCACUUAGCGAUAAGGAGCCAAUCCCGUAAAGCCGGUCUCAGUCCGGAUUGGAGUCUGCAACUCGACUCCAUGAAGUUGGAAUCGCUAGUAAUCGCAGAUCAGCACGCUGCGGUGAAUACGUUCCCGGGCCUU
rnacentral:rRNA from 1 species